rnacentral:rRNA from 1 species
AAGGGUGCGUAGGCGGGCCUGUUAAGUCAGAGGUGAAAGACGGUAGCUCAACUAUCGCAGUGCCUUUGAUACUGAUGGGCUUGAAUGGACUAGAGGUAGGCGGAAUGAGACAAGUAGCGGUGAAAUGCAUAGAUAUGUCUCAGAACACCGAUUGCGAAGGCAGCUUACUAUGGUUUUAUUGACGCUGAGGCACGAAAGCGUGGGGAUCAAACAGGAUUAGAUACCCCAGU